ensembl:snRNA U6 U6 spliceosomal RNA
CUUGCUUCGGCAACACAGACUAAAAUUGGAGUGACACAGCCAUAUAUUAGAAUGGCUCCUGCAUAAGGAUGACAUACAAUUUGUGGUACACUCUUAUUUCUU